CAUCUUCACCAAUCUGACAACAGAGAGGAGGAACAAACACAACAACCUUUGCCACGAAGGCAUGAGCACGACGUUUCAGUGUUGUAGGAGAAUGAAUCUGCUGCCUGUUCCUUGUACCAAAAACAUCCAGGACUGUUUAAACCCAUAUACACUUCAAAACAUCCACAACAUCUUCAGAGGAGAACAUCACGGAGAACUGCAGAAGAGCUGUGCAGACACUUGGCAGCUCAGCUUUUGGUUAUCCUGUCGUGUGUCGUCCUGAGGAUUCGCCCCGAGUUUCUUGACCCAACUUGACAGUAUGUUGGCUUACACCCGCCCCUUGACUACACCUGGACACGUGUCGAGCCACCCCUCCUUCUUUUGAGAGUCAGGUAUUUUCUGCAGCUCCUCCAUGAAUGUUUCUGGUUCCUGAAACAUCUCCUCCAACACCAGUGCAAUCAAGUGUGUGUGCGUACCUUUGCUUGUCCCUUAGUGUACCCCAGGCCAACUGUGUGUGGACUGAUGACCCCUUUGGAGGUAGGUAUGUCUGUGUGGCCUCUGAGACUUGUGGGGAGUCUGUCUGCCACCCAAC